UACCAAGAUGAGAUGAUGGAGUCCCAGC
rnacentral:piRNA from 1 species